rnacentral:tRNA from 1 species
AAUAAAGUGCCUGAUUAAAGGAUUAUUCUGAUAGAGUAAAUUAAGUUGAUAUUAUAUCUACCUUUAUUA